rnacentral:snoRNA from 1 species
AUGCGUGUUGUGGGCAUUGGCAAAGUAAACCCUUGCAUCUUUUUCAAGCCUCUGAUUAGCAUUCUGAGUCCAUUUGCUGAAAAGUAGUGAUCUCAUCCCUUAGUUU